CCCUUAGAGUUUGAUCCUGGCUCAGGACGAACGCUGGCGGCGCGCUUAACACAUGCAAGUCGUACGGAGCUGUUCCUUCGGGGACAGCUCAGUGGCGAACGGGUGCGUAACACGUGAGCAACCUGCCUCGGGGUGGGGGAUAACCCGUGGAAACGCGGGCUAAUACCGCAUGACCUUGCGAUCCCGCAUGGGGAUGCAAGGAAAGGAGCUUUCGGGCUCUGCCUUGAGAGGGGCUCGCGGCGUAUCAGCUAGCUGGUGGGGUAACGGCCUACCAGGGCGACGACGCGUAGCCGAUCUGAGAGGAUGAUCGGCCACAUUGGGACUGAGAUACGGCCCAGACUCCUACGGGAGGCAGCAGUGGGGAAUCUUGCGCAAUGGGCGAAAGCCUGACGCAGCGACGCCGCGUGGGGGAGGAAGCCCUUCGGGGUGUAAACCCCUGUCAGGAGGGAAGAACGGGCAUCCCAGGAAAUGGGGGUGUUUUGACGGUACCUCCAAAGGAAGCACCGGCUAACUCUGUGCCAGCAGCCGCGGUAAUACAGAGGGUGCGAGCGUUGUUCGGAAUUACUGGGCGUAAAGCGCGCGCAGGCGGUCCUUUAAGUCUACCCGUGAAAUGCCGGAGCUCAACUCCGUGCACGCCGGGGGAUACUGGAGGACUGGAGACGAGUAGAGGCAAGCGGAAUUCCGGGUGUAGCGGUGGAAUGCGUACAGAUCCGGAAGACACC
rnacentral:rRNA from 1 species